UACAGAGGUGGCAAGCGUUGCUCGGAAUUACUGGGCGUAAAGCGCGUGUAGGCGGGACGAUAAGUCGGAAGUGAAAUCCCCGGGCUCAACCCGGGAACUGCUUUCGAAACUGCCGUCCUCGAGUACCGGAGAGGGUGGCGGAAUUCCUGGUGUAGAGGUGAAAUUCGUAGAUAUCAGGAGGAAUACUGGUGGUGAAGGUGGUUACCUGGAUGGUCAUUGACGCUGAGAUGCGAAAGCGUGGGGAGCAAACAGG
rnacentral:rRNA from 1 species